rnacentral:tRNA from 1 species
GGCCGCGUGGCCUAAUGGCUAAGGCGCUAGAUUUCGGUUCACCGUUAUCACAUUCUCUAGAGAUUCCAGGUUCGAAUCCUGGCGUGGUCG